CUUCUUUUAUAUGGGAAUAAAGUAUUCCACGUGUGGAAUUUUGUAUGUACCAUAUGAAUAAGGAUCGGCUAACUCCGUGCCAGCAGCCGCGGUAAUACGGAGGAUCCGAGCGUUAUCCGGAUUUAUUGGGUUUAAAGGGAGCGUAGGUGGAUUGUUAAGUCAGUUGUGAAAGUUUGCGGCUCAACCGUAAAAUUGCAGUUGAAACUGGCAGUCUUGAGUACAGUAGAGGUGGGCGGAAUUCGUGGUGUAGCGGUGAAAUGCUUAGAUAUCACGAAGAACUCCGAUUGCGAAGGCAGCUCACUAGACUGUUACUGACACUGAUGCUCGAAAGUGUGGGUAUCAAACAGGAUUAGAUACCCUGGUAGUCCACACAGUAAACGAUGAAUACUCGCUGUUUGCGAUAUACAGUAAGCGGCCAAGCGAAAGCAUUAAGUAUUCCACCUGGGGAGUACGCCGGCAACGGUGAAACUCAAAGGAAUUGACGGGGGCCCGCACAAGCGGAGGAACAUGUGGUUUAAUUCGAUGAUACGCGAGGAACCUUACCCGGGCUUAAAUUGCAACAGAAUAUAUUGGAAACAGUAUAGCCGUAAGGCUGUUGUGAAGGUGCUGCAUGGUUGUCGUCAGCUCGUGCCGUGAGGUGUCGGCUUAAGUGCCAUAACGAGCGCAACCCUUAUCUUUAGUUACUAACAGGUCAUGCUGAGGACUCUAGAGAGACUGCCGUCGUAAGAUGUGAGGAAGGUGGGGAUGACGUCAAAUCAGCACGGCCCUUACGUCCGGGGCUACACACGUGUUACAAUGGGGGGUACAGAAGGCGGCUACCUGGUGACAGGAUGCUAAUCCCAAAAACCUCUCUCAGUUCGGAUCGAAGUCUGCAACCCGACUUCGUGAAGCUGGAUUCGCUAGUAAUCGCGCAUCAGCCAUGGCGCGGUGAAUACGUUCCCGGGCCUUGUACACACCGCCCGUCAAGCCAUGAAAGCCGGGGGUACCUGAAGUACGUAACCGCAAGGAGCGUCCUAGGGUAAAACUGGUAAUUGGGGCUAAGUCGUAACAAGGUAGCCGUACCGGAAGGUGCGGCUG
rnacentral:rRNA from 1 species